rnacentral:rRNA from 1 species
UCCGAAGGAUGCAAGCGUUAUCCGGAUUUAUUGGGUUUAAAGGGUGCGUAGGCGGACUUAUAAGUCAGUGGUGAAAUCUCGUUGCUUAACAACGAACGUGCCAUUGAUACUGUAGGUCUUGAGUACAGAUGCCGUUGGCGGAAUGUGUCAUGUAGCGGUGAAAUGCAUAGAUAUGACACAGAACACCGAUUGCGAAGGCAGCGGACGAAGCUGUAACUGACGCUGAGGCACGAAAGCGUGGGGAUCAAACAGG